rnacentral:tRNA from 1 species
AGGGAGACAACACAAUGAUUUUGAUGCCUGAGUACUUUUAUUCUUAGGCCGAAAUCCUGUCACCUUAGGUCGAUCGGUACCUCAGCUUUGAAGUCAAGGAUCAACAGCAAUGUUGAUUGCUUGAUGGAGAUUUUCAGUUCCUAAACUUUGUCUAGGUCACACCCCAAAAGGGAUGAGACUCCUGGGCCAUUAGCUCAGGUGGUUAGAGCGCACCCCUGAUAAGGGUGAGGUCCCUGGUUCAAGUCCAGGAUGGCCCAUUCGGUGUUGGGGGUUUAGCUCAGUUGGUAGAGCGCCUGCUUUGCAAGCAGGAUGUCAGGAGUUCGAGUCUCCUAACCUCCACUGACCGAACUUGAUUCCCAUCUCCAAUUUUUUGGAGUUGAGCUCGAUUGGAGUGUGAUUUAGAUGUGUCCGCUGGAUGACCCCAGCUUCCUGUCAUUCCAAGUUUUAGGUUGAUGCCUUGAAUUUGGUUGAUAAGAUGCUGGGCUCGAAUCAAAUGAUCAAGCAAUUGAUGAUUUGAUUUGAAGUUCUAGCAGAACCUUGACAACUGCAUAGGUAAGUCUGGAAAAAACAAAGCAUCUUACAGAUGCAUUGUUUUGAAUCUGAUCUUCUGAAAGGGAGAUUAGAUCUAGAACAAUGAAAAUUCUUUUGAGCAAGAGCCGAGACUCUUGAACGUUCUUUGAUUGGUGUCGAGCCAAUCAGAGUUUGAUCUUGUUUUUAGCAAUAAAAACUUGAGAAUCUGCUUUCAACGGCGGUAAGCGUUCAGGAGGUUAAUU